GUUUAAAGUUCUUCAAAAUAAGAAUAAAGGAUUGAUCUCCAUAUAUGAGGAUUAGCAGAGGGUAUAUGACAAAACAUAAACAAGUUCAAGUUGAACAAUCUCUUGAAUAGAGAUUCAAGAAAAAAAAUGACCCAAUGACAAUUCAGAAAGUCAUCAACAGCACGAAAUCUAGCGGCAUUAAGAUUGUUGAAGGUUGAAGCAAGAGAAAAGACAGAAACACAAUUUAAGACGAGAUUGGAUCUCUAUCAUCAAAACUGGAUAGAACUAGACAAAUCUGAAGAACAUCAGGUAGUGUAAUUUAUAUACAAGUUACUAAUGUUAUGUAUAUAGUGGGUUGUGUAUUAAAGUAAUAUAUACAAAGUAUUAUGAGACAA